rnacentral:lncRNA from 1 species
GGGUUGUUCCCAGCGGAGAUCCUCCAGGAUGGCUUCUGGGAUACGCCACCGCAGAGCCAGGCCCUGGCGGGGCAUGUGAUGGUUUCUCUCCUGCUGCCGUGACGCCCUCACCAGCAGCUGAAGCAUCACAGGUUUACUGUCUUCCAGUUGUGGAGGCCAGAAACCCAUGUGCAACCUCAGCAGCUAAAACCCAGGCGUUGGCAGGAUGGCCUUCGUCCCGGAGCCUCCAGGGAGAGUCUGCUUCCCAUCCUUCUGCGUGGCUCUCUGGGGCUGUGGGACCCAGGACCCUGUUUUCCUGCUGGGUGCAGGCUGAGAGCUUCCGGAGGUGCAGGGGGCAUCUUCUGACCUAGCUUCCCAUCAUGGAAUGAGUGGAGGCUUCUUCAGGCCUCAACCUGUGCUGUUUACCUUCCGACAGCAGUGGCCUCCUCCUCCUCCGGCUGCUGCACUGUCCCUGCCCGCCCCUUUCCAGCGGCAGGUCCCAGAGCUUUCUCGGUUCUUGGCCACGACGUCUCCCACCUCCUCCACCCAGUGGGCUCUAGGCUCCGGUGGCUGCAGGGCUUCAGUCCAGCAGGUGUUUCCUUUUACUUGCUUCAUAGCAGCUUGCACCGUGGUUGAUCCCUCCCUCCUAGAAGCACUCUUCCUUCUGUUUCUGAGAAGGCGUAUUUUCUCUCGGGCCCCUGCGGCUGAUCUGUUUCCUGUGCAGACUCACCGUGGACGGUGCAUUUCCUCAGCGUCAGGCCCCUUCCUGCACACCUUGCCCAUGGCAUCUGCAGUUGACUUAGAGCACCUUGGCUACAGAUUGGUGUCCACCAUGGUCUUCCUAAGACAAAAAAACAUUCUGCUUAUGUCUGCAAAGGAAACAGAAGUUGCAGCCAACUAUAAAUGCAACGAGAAAAUACCUACAGGUUUGGAGAACAGAGACCUCCAAAGAACAGUGGACCAAGUGAUCGCCCUGGCUGACCCAGAGUGCUUGAUUCCAAGAAAAAGUUUGUUCCAAAUAAAGAAGCAAAGACUGGAGAGAAAGAUGACACCCCCAGUUUCCUCCUGAGACCAGUUUCCAGCCUCCUUGCUGCCCGGCCACAGCUGUCAUGAUUUCCGCUUGAAUGUCUUGCCGUCCUUGUUGGUACGAGUAUACAGUACUUGAUCAGUAUUGGUUCUGCGACAUUUGGUUUAUUUAUAAACACGCUGUUGUAUUGUAUAUAUAGUUCUGCACCUCGCUUUUCUCCCCUCUGCAAUGAUUUUUGAAGUCUAUCUACACUCACGUUUCACUGAGCUAUUUUACAUAUUUUAUUUCCCCACUGUUCCCCACGGCUGGACUUUUAGGUUCUUCCUGAUUUUUCACUAUUGCAAACAAUUCCAAAAUUUGAUUAGGU